AUGAUUCAAGAAGAACCUCUUCCCAAGAAAGUUCGACUGAGUGAAACAGACUUCAAAGUUAUGGCAAGAGAUGAGUUAAUUCUAAGAUGGAAACAAUAUGAAGCAUAUGUACAAGCUUUGGAGGGCAAGUACACAGAGCUUAACUCUAAUGAUGUAACUAGCCUAACAGAGUCUGAAGAAAAACUAAAGCAACAACAGCAGGGUCUGCACGCGGGGAAAACAUCCUGGUAAUGCGACUAACAACCAAGGAACAACAGAUGCAAGAGUGUACUACUCAAAUCCAGUACCUCAAGCAAGUCCAGCAGCUGAGCCUUGCCCAGCUGAGAUCAACAAUGGUAGACCCAGCGAUCAAACUUGGUUUUCCUAAAAAUGAAAGGUGAACUGGAAUAGACUAAAGAUAAACUGGAACAAGCCCAAAAUGAACUGAGUGCCUGGAAUUUUACGCCUGAUAGAGGCCUGAUGGCGUCAGACUAUUCCGAAGAAGUGGCCACUUCUGAAAAAUUCCCCUUCUAGAACAUGUAGACACUUGAGAAAUGCUUCUGUUUGAAGAAUAUAGAGGGAGAAACAGAAGUCUUAAGUCUGUGGCACACUGUGUCUUCAGACUGUUUGAAGGAAUGAAAACCUAGAGAUUUUAAAUCAUGAAUUGAACAUGUAAAAUUCCAGUCAAAUGUAAAAAUGGAAUAUGCAUCGCUCUUAACCUUGAGCAUAGUGACUUAGAGACACUGUGUAUCAGUUUUGCCAAUAAGACUGGACUUCAUUAUUGCUGUUGAACUUCUCGGUCAAAACUCAAAUGAGGUGAAUUUUGCCCUUAAAGGGUUUAUUUGCUGAGAACCAACUUUUAAUAGUCACGAGAGAAUCAAAUAAUAGAUGUCAGUAUAAGGAGCGCAUAUAUUUAACCAUUUAGUUUGGGGCUCUAUAUUACUUGCUUGAGCCUUAAUCAAUGUGAUUUUAUUCAAUGGUUUGUUCUUUGAAUGGUUGCAAAAACUGUAGAUUAUCUUACUGAGGACUGUACAAACAUGAAGGUGUGGUAUGAAACUUCAGGUUGAAACUGUUUGAAGCAUUAUAAACAUUCAUGUCACAACUAGAUUGUAUAAGGAUAUUAGCUGUGAUGAGACUCACUGCAUUAUUUUUUUAGUGAAUUUUAUGAAAUCCCCAUUCCAUUCAACAGGCACAUGUUUAAAAGAGCAUUGUCGUUGGUGUUAAUGGGGGAAUGUGUUCCUUCAUUGUAUUUGGCCCUUUUGUAUUGCACUCUUGAUAUUAAAUUAAAUGUGCCUUGAAA